rnacentral:rRNA from 1 species
GCCUCCGGGCGCCCAACCUCCCACCCGUGACUACCUAACACUGUUGCUUCGGCGGGGAGCCCUCUCGGGGGCGAGCCGCCGGGGACUACUGAACUUCAUGCCUGAGAGUGAUGCAGUCUGAGUCUGAAUAUAAAAUCAGUCAAAACUUUCAACAAUGGAUCUCUUGGUUCCGGCAUCGAUGAAGAACGCAGCGAACUGCGAUAAGUAAUGUGAAUUGCAGAAUUCAGUGAAUCAUCGAGUCUUUGAACGCACAUUGCGCCCCCUGGCAUUCCGGGGGGCAUGCCUGUCCGAGCGUCAUUGCUGCCCAUCAAGCCCGGCUUGUGUGUUGGGUCGUCGUCCCCCCCGGGGGACGGGCCCGAAAGGCAGCGGCGGCACCGUGUCCGGUCCUCGAGCGUAUGGGGCUUUGUCACCCGCUCGAUUAGGGCCGGCCGGGCGCCAGCCGACGUCUCCAACCAUUUUCUUCAGGUUGACCUCGGAUCAGGUAGGGAUACCCGCUGAACUUAAGCAUAUCAAUAAGCGGAGGAA